GGCUUUUGCAGAGAAGAAGAGUAACUCAUCUCGAACUAUCAUUAUAGUUGUGGCGGUUGUUGUUUUUGUGGUCUUAGUAAUCUGCAUCUGUGUCUGUAUCCAUUUAAGAGUGAAAAAGCGAAGGAAGAAAGUUAAAAAUAAGUUAAAAAUGGGUUUCUUGUCCUAUUUAUACUAAGGAUUUUGAUUCUAUAAAAUAUAAAUACAAACCAAAUCAGACAAUUAGUAGUAUAUAUGCUACUUAAUUUAUAAGUGAAGCUGUGGAUGAAAUAAUUAGUGCUGAAUCAUUGCAAUUCGACUUUGCUACAAUUAGAGUUGCUGCAGAGAAUUUUUCAGAUGCAAAUAAGCUUAGGCAAGGUGGAUUUGGUGCUGUUUACAAGGCUAGGGUAUGCUCUCAAAUGGACAAGAAAUAGCUGUGAAAAUGUUGUCUACUGUUUCCGAACAAGGCAUGGCGAAAUUGGAGGAAGGCUAGUUCAACAUCUGAAAUAACGUACUUUUGGUGUUUGGCAGACGACUUUGACUUUCUUACAUUCCACCGGCACCCCGUCCCUUGACCGCAAUAAUAGGAAACGCGUACUGGAAAACUACGUCGAGUGUUUGGCCCGCGAAGAAAGUCAUUUAAAUUAAUUUCUAAUAACUGGGGCAUGGACCAUGGAUAAUGGCGAGGACGUUUCGGCGUCGUACGUGGCUUCUCCUCGACCACUUCUGUCUCAACCAACUGGAAAACUAGCUUUCAUUAUUCAACGCAUGCGAAACACCUUGGGGGAUCAAUUAAUGGAGAAAUAUAAAAGUAUGCAGCUAGCUGCGUUGAAUGGACAAACGUAGACUAAAAGAAAGUGCCAUAAUUUUUUACUAUUAUAUGUACGCUAAUUAAACAUUAUUUAUGUCCACUUAAUCUUCUCAUAAAUUGCAAGUAUACGAAUAUA